rnacentral:lncRNA from 1 species
CUGACAGCCAGGUGGGCCAAGAACCUGGAGGACUCCAGGGGCGAACUGACAGCUGCAUUUCCUGCUCUCCAAAGGGAAGCAUUUUGUCCUCAGAGGGAUGUCUCUAAGUGUCCACCAGGUGCACCUGUGCCCGGCUGCAGAGUAGCACCUGCUCCAGGAGUCCAGCUGGACAUGAGGGCUGUUCCACGAGAGCCAGAAAGCAGCAGGGUCACAUGGGACAAGGGCCUUCAAAGUGUUGAGACCUGCCGACCUUCCAGUUGCACUUCUGGGGUCAAUUCACGCCAGCCAUCUGGCCUACGUGGCUCAGACACUGCAGAAGGAGGCAGAGAGGACAAGCUGCCCGACCCUCAUGGUGCUAAGGCAAUUGUCAUCAGUCUGAGGGCGAGAAAAGCCUUUUGCGUGAAGGCAUCCUGGGAGCAUCAUUCAUUCAUUCAUCAAGAAAUAGUUAUUAAACCCUUAAGGGA